rnacentral:siRNA from 1 species
UAGAUCUGAGACAUAAGGCGCU